rnacentral:lncRNA from 1 species
GUGGCUCAUCCCGACGGCGCUAGGAGUAAGGGGAGGAGGAAAAUCGGUGGAGGUGGAACCCUAGAGGCGGGCCAUGGCCAAAUAGGCCGGAGGGGGAGCCGUGAUGGCCGUCUGAUGGAGGAGGAGGUUGAUCCAGUGGCGCCCAUGAAGUCGUACAGCUGUCGCACGCGAGGUGGAAGAGAAGGACACGCUCUGGCUGGCAGGGCCGAAACCAUUGAAGCUGGGCCUGGUUCUCCCUCUCUCUC